UACGGGGGGAGCAAGCGUUGUUCGGAUUUACUGGGCGUAAAGAGCGUGUAGGCGGCCAGGUAGGUCGGUUGUGAAAACUCGAGGCUCAACCUCGAGAUGUCGACCGAAACCAUCUGGCUAGAGUCCGGAAGAGGAGAAUGGAAUUCCCGGUGUAGCGGUGAAAUGCGCAGAUAUCGGGAAGAACACCCGUGGCGAAGGCGGUUCUCUGGGACGGUACUGACGCUGAGACGCGAAAGCGUGGGGAGCGAACAGG
rnacentral:rRNA from 1 species